CUCAAUAUGUAUUUGUUCAAUGAAUGAAAUGGAAGGAGGGAUGUGGAGCCUGUCUGUGUACCUCUUAACACAUAGCAGCCCAUGCAACUAGUAAACUCCAGCCUGAUAAAUGUCCUGGAAUGCUAACCAACCGGAUUAGCAAGUCUACUGCUAGGAUUGGGUUGCAAUGUAGCUAGGAAGGUGAGAGAGGAAGUAGAUGUGGGUCUGCUGGAGAGAGAAGAGGCUGGAAAUUUCUUUACAGUGGAAGGAACAAGUGAGAGAAUAAAAGAAGCUAUGACAGAGCGAACAGAUUGUACACAGUCGCGGAAAUCCUGGAAAGUCUGGAAAUGGACUAACUCAGGCCGGGGCAACUGUGACAAGCCAGGUGAGGACACAUUGAGACGGUGGCCAUCUGUAAGGCAGGAAGAGAACUGUCAUGAGGAACCAAAUCUGCUGGCACCUUCAUCUUAGACCCCCAGCCUUUGGAACUGUGAGAAAUAAAUG